rnacentral:rRNA from 1 species
CCAAUAGCGUAUAUUAAAGUUGCUGCAGUUAAAAAGCUCGUAGUUGAAUUUCGGGACCAUCAUGUCGGUCGUGCCUCGGUACGUACUGGCAUUGUUGGUUUCUCCCUUCUGACGAACCAUGAUGUCAUUUAUUUGGUGUUGUUGGGAAUCAGGACUGUUACUUUGAAAAAAUUAGAGUGUUUAAAGCAGGCUCACGCUUGAAUACAUUAGCAUGGAAUAAUGAAAUAGGACGUUUGAUUCUAUUUUGUUGGUUUCUAGGAUCGACGUAAUGAUUAAUAGGGAUAGUUGGGGGCAUUAGUAUUCAAUUGUCAGAGGUGAAAUUCUUGGAUUUAUUGAAGACUAGCUACUGCGAAAGCAUUUGCCAAGGAUGUUUUCAUUAAUCAAGAACGAAAGUUAGGGGAUCGAAGACGAUCAGAUACCGUCGUAGUCUUAACCAUAAACUAUGCCGACUAGGGAUCGGAUGAUGUUAAUUUUUUAAUGACUCAUUCGGCGCCUUACG